rnacentral:rRNA from 1 species
AACGAACGCUGGCGGCAGGCCUAACACAUGCAAGUCGAGCGAGGACUUCGGUCCUAGCGGCGGACGGGUGAGUAACGCGUGGGAACGUGCCCUUUGCUUCGGAAUAGCCCUGGGAAACUGGGAGUAAUACCGGAUGAGCCCUUUUGGGGAAAGAUUUAUCGGCGAAGGAUCGGCCCGCGUUGGAUUAGGUAGUUGGUGGGGUAAUGGCCUACCAAGCCGACGAUCCAUAGCUGGUUUGAGAGGAUGAUCAGCCACACUGGGACUGAGACACGGCCCAGACUCCUACGGGAGGCAGCAGUGGGGAAUCUUAGACAAUGGGGGAAACCCUGAUAUAGCCAUGCCGCGUGAGCGAUGAAGGCCUGAGGGUUGUAAAGCUCUUUCAGCUGGGAAGAUAAUGACGGUACCAGCAGAAGAAGCCCCGGCUAACUCCGUG